rnacentral:lncRNA from 1 species
CUCACUUCUUAUCUGAUUAUUCGACUGUUCAUGAACCUUAUUGGAGAGGGUGGAGUUGCACUGUUCAUUUUUGGACCACUGUGUUCACAUUGUGCUUGUUUGUAGCUGGUUCAAUACGGUUUACCUAAAAGGCUUCUCACUUUUCAUUCGAUUGUUCGACUGUUCGUGAACGGGUUCCAUUACCGUUCCCUAAAUAUCUCCACUAAAAAGUGCAUUUUGCGUUCUCUCUCACUUUGUGCUAUGCUUUUCGAUCUCUCUGCUUUUGGAUCUCGAUUCCAUCGGACUUCAACAUACAAUUUGGGGACGAGGAUGAAGAAGACGAAGACGACGAAGAAAAAGGCUCCGUUGUGACGACUGGUGAAGGAGGAGGAGCUGAAGCUCGAGAUCGAUGACCUCAAGGCCAAGGUCAAUACUUUUUUCCCCUGAAGAGAACCAAAAUUUGCAAAGUGAGAAUGACUUAUUGAUUGCUAUAAAUUUGUUUAGUUUAAUUUUUUUUGUGGUUUUGUCGCACAUGAAGGGGCUGCAGCAAUUUGCCGACGUGGAAGGAGCUUAGAAAUUCAUAAUAAUGCAUCUGCUGAGGUAGCAGUAGACCUGUAUCACAAAUACAAAGUAGUUGGAUUUUAAAUCUUCGUUUAAAAUUUGACCAUGCAUUAACGAAAUUUUACACGAACCAUUUCUGUGAAUAUAUAGCAAGAUGUCGAUCUUAUGGCGGAACUGAACUUGGAUCCUUACUGGUUUUUAAUUUCGUGGUCAAGAAUAUAUACGAGUAAUUGUCGUAACAGAUAUUUUCACUUGACUUAAUUUAUGAAUAAUCAGUAGCACAAGUAACUACAUGUUCUUUACAUGUAGAUGGAACUGGGAAAGUAAAUUGGAAGAGAGUUGCUUAUAUAGUGGGCUGAUCAACUAUAUGCUCAGCUG